UUCCAGACUCCUACGGGAGGCAGCAGUGAGGAAUAUUGGUCAAUGGCCGAGAGGCUGAACCAGCCAAGUCGCGUGAGGGAAGAAUGUCCUAUGGAUUGUAAACCUCUUUUGUCAGGGAGCAAAGUCACCCACGUGUGGGUGUUGGAGAGUACCUGAAGAAAAAGCAUCGGCUAACUCCGUGCCAGCAGCCGCGGUAAUACGUAGGUGGCAAGCGUUGUCCGGAUUUACUGGGUGUAAAGGGCGUGUAGCCGGGCUGACAAGUCAGAUGUGAAAUCCGGGGGCUCAACCCCCGAACUGCAUUUGAAACUGUUGGUCUUGAGUAUCGGAGAGGCAGGCGGAAUUCCUAGUGUAGCGGUGAAAUGCGUAGAUAUUAGGAGGAACACCAGUGGCGAAGGCGGCCUGCUGGACGACAACUGACGGUGAGGCGCGAAAGCGUGGGGAGCAAACAGGAUUAGAUACCCCGGUA
rnacentral:rRNA from 1 species